UACAGAGGAUGCAAGCGUUAUCCGGAAUUAUUGGGCGUAAAGCGCACGUAGGCGGCUUUGCAAGUCGGAUGUGAAAUCCCUCGGCUUAACUGAGGAAGUGCAUCCGAAACUGGCAGGCUAGAGUACUAAAGAGGGUCGCGGAAUUCCCGGUGUAGAGGUGAAAUUCGUAGAUAUCGGGAGGAACACCGGUGGCGAAGGCGGCGACCUGGGUAGAUACUGACGCUGAGGUGCGAAAGCGUGGGGAGCAAACAGGGAUUAGAAACCC
rnacentral:rRNA from 1 species